CAGUAGCCGCGGUAAUACGUAGGGUGCGAGCGUUGUCCGGAAUUACUGGGCGUAAAGGGCUCGUAGGUGGUUUGUCGCAUCGUCUGUGAAAUUCCGGGGCUUAACUCCGGGCGUGCAGGCGAUACGGGCAUAACUUGAGUACUGUAGGGGUAACUGGAAUUCCUGGUGUAGCGGUGAAAUGCGCAGAUAUCAGGAGGAACACCGAUGGCGAAGGCAGGUUACUGGGCAGUUACUGACGCUGAGGAGCGAAAGCAUGGGUAGCGAACAGGAUUAGAUACCCCUGUAGUCCCUGUCUCUUAUU
rnacentral:rRNA from 1 species